GCGCUCACUUCUGCAGCACAUGUACUAAAACUGGAAUGAUAACAGAGAACAUCAGCCUGGCCCCGUGUAAGGAGGACACCUAAAUUCAUGAAGCGUUUCUGAUUAAA
rnacentral:snRNA from 1 species